AUACGGAGGGUCCGAGCGUUAAUCGGAAUUACUGGGCGUAAAGCGCGCGUAGGUGGCUAUAUAAGUCAGAUGUGAAAGCCCUGGGCUCAACCUAGGAACUGCAUUUGAAACUGUAUGGCUAGAGUAUGGUAGAGGUGAGUGGAAUUUCAGGUGUAGCGGUGAAAUGCGUAGAGAUCUGAAGGAACAUCAGUGGCGAAGGCGACUCACUGGGCCAUUACUGACACUGAGGUGCGAAAGCGUGGGUAGCAAACAGGAUUAGAAACCCUUGUAGUCC
rnacentral:rRNA from 1 species